rnacentral:rRNA from 1 species
GUGAGGAAUAUUGGUCAAUGGGCGAGAGCCUGAACCAGCCAAGUCGCGUGAAGGAUGAAGGUUUUAUGAAUUGUAAACUUCUUUUGCAGGGGAAUAAAGUACGGUACGUGUACCGUUUUGUAUGUACUCUGCGAAUAAGGAUCGGCUAACUCCGUGCCAGCAGCCGCGGUAAUACGGAGGAUCCAAGCGUUAUCCGGAUUUAUUGGGUUUAAAGGGUGCGCAGGCGGGUUGAUAAGUCAGCGGUGAAAGUUUGCAGCUUAACUGUAAAAUUGCCGUUGAAACUGUCGAUCUUGAGUGCAAAUGAGGUAAGCGGAAUGUGUUGUGUAGCGGUGAAAUGCGUAGAUAUCGGGAGGAACACCAGUGGCGAAGGCGGCUUCCUGGCACAAUACUGACGCUCAUGUGCGAAAGCUAGGGCAGCGAACGGGAUUAGAUACCCCUGUAGUCC